AUUGAACGCUGGCGGCAUGCCUUACACAUGCAAGUCGAACGGCAGCACGGGUGCUUGCACCUGGUGGCGAGUGGCGAACGGGUGAGUAAUACAUCGGAACGUACCUUAUCGUGGGGAUAACGCAGCGAAAGGUGUGCUAAUACCGCAUACGCCCUGAGGUGGAAAGCGGGGGAUCGAAAGACCUCGCGCGAUUAGAGCGGCCGAUGCCUGAUUAGCUUGUUGGUGGUGUAAAAGCCCACCAAGGCGACGAUCAGUAGCUGGUCUGAGAGGACGAUCAGCCACACUGGGACUGAGACACGGCCCAGACUCCUACGGGAGGAAGCAGUGGGUAAUUUUGGACGAUGGGAGCAACCCUGAUCCAGCAAUGCCGCGUGAGUGAAGAAGGCCUUCGGGUUGUAGAGCUCUUUUGUCAGGGAAGAAACACCGGCUCUAACACAGUCCGGGAAUGACGGUACCUGAAGAAUAAGCACCGGCUAACUACGUGCCAGCCGCCGCGGUAA
rnacentral:rRNA from 1 species